AUACCUCUUGUCCAGAUCCUAUUGAAGUCUACCUCCGCUGCACAUUUGAUCAACGGGUAAAUUAUAUUUUACCCCCCUGUGGUUUACCCUUUUUUUACAUAACCCCCCUAUGAUUUCAAAAGCUAUACAUAACCCCCUCAUGGUUUGGAUUAAAGUGUCAAAGUAACGGAAAUAGUCACUCGUAACGGAACUUCUAAAAAUGUCGAAAUUACCCUUAUAAAUACAUGACACAUUAACCCCCUAUGAUUUUUAUAUUUUACCAUAUAACCCCCAUAUGGUUUAAUACUUUACUAUAUAACCCCCUUAUGAUUUUCAAAACAAACACAUAACCCCCC
rnacentral:lncRNA from 1 species